AGCAGCCGCGGUAAUUCCAGCUCCAAUAGCGUAUAUUAAAGUUGUUGCAGUUAAAAAGCUCGUAGUUGAAUUUCGGGGUCAGUAGAUUGGUCGUGCCACUGGUAUGUACUGGUCUUACUGGCUCCUCCUUCCUGAUGAACCGUAAUGCCAUUAAUUUGGUGUUGCGGGGAGACUGGACUGUUACUUUGAAAAAUUAGAGUGUUUAAAGCAGGCUAACGCUUGAAUACAUUAGCAUGGAAUAAUGAAAUAGGACGUUCGAUCUUAUUUUGUUGGUUUCUAAGAUUGACGUAAUGAUUAAUAGGGAUAGUUGGGGGCAUUAGUAUUCAAUUGUCAGAGGUGAAAUUCUUGGAUUUAUUGAAGGCUAACUACUGCGAAAGCAUUUGCCAAGGAUGUUUUCAUUAAUCAAGAACGAAAGUUAGGGGAUCGAAGACGAUCAGAUACCGUCGUAGU
rnacentral:rRNA from 1 species